rnacentral:rRNA from 1 species
UGAAGGGGGGCGGAAGCCUGACGGAGCACGCCGCGUGAGGGAUGAAGGCCUCUGGGCUGUAAACCUCUUUUAUCAAGGAAGAAGAUCUGACGGUACUUGAUGAAUAAGCCACGGCUAAUUCCGUGCCAACAGCCGCGGUAAUACGGGAGUGGCAAGCGUUAUCCGGAAUUAUUGGGCGUAAAGCGUCCGCAGGCGGCCCUACAAGUCUGCUGUUAAAAAGUGGAGCUUAACUCCAUCAUGGCAGUGGAAACUGAUGGGCUCGAGUGUGGUAGGGGCAGAGGGAAUUCCCGGUGUAACGGUGAAAUGCGUACAUAUCGGGAAGAACACCAGUGGCGAAGGCGCUCUGCUGGGCCAUCACUGACGCUCAUGGACGAAAGCCAGGGGAGCGAAAGGGAUUAGAUACCCCUGUAGUCCUGGCCGUAAACGAUGAACACUAGGUGUCGGGGGAAUCGACCCCUCCGGUGUCGUAGCCAACGCGUUAAGUGUU